CAAUCAGCGAGACACCGUGGGCGUAGGACCCUCUGAGCCAGGUGUGGGAUAUAAUCUUGUGGUGCGCCGUUUUUAAAGCCGGUCUGAAAAGCGCAAUAUUCGGGUGGGAGUGACCCGAUUUUCCAGGUGAGUCCGUCACCCCUCUCUUUGACUCGGAAAGGGAACUCCCUGACCCCUUGCGCUUCCCAGGUGAGGCAAUGCCUCACCCUGCUUUGGCUUGCGCACGGUGCACGCACCCACUGGCCUGCGCCCACUGUCUGGCACACCCUAGUGAGAUGAACCAGAUACCUCAGACGGAAAUGCAGAAAUCACCCAUCUUCUGCGUCACUCACGCUGGGAGCUGUAGACCGGAGCUGUUCCUAUUUGGCCAUCUUCGGUUCUUGAUUUCUCUUUAUAUCUUCUAUUCCUUUGCUAAGUCUCAGAAGGAAUCAUUUUCUUUCCACCUACAAUGUUAGAUCCACCUGAAUGAAAUACGCCUUUCAUUGCGUCCUGAGAAGACGGAAGAAUCAUAAAAAGCCUUCAGAAGCCCUUGAGGAAUUUUGAGGGCAGUAAAAGCAAAGACUGUAAACCGAAGAAAAAUACACAAAGAUGUAAGAGCAGUAAGAGCAAAGUGGGGACAAGGGAUAUUGAGUAUCUGAAGGGAAAAAUAAGAAGCAUAGCCUAUCCUGGAAAAGAAAAGAAACGUCAUGGUAAAAAAACAACUGCGGUUUUUGUGAACACCUACUACGGUAAGGAACAGGCCAGCCAUAGCCCACACCCAGGUGGCUGACAAGAGCUCGCCAGAUCACAGGGCCACCUUCCUGCCUGAGAGCUGGAUGCCCUCUGCAUCUUCCUGGGCUUUACAGCACAUGGGAUCUGUUUACAUGUGGUCUCCGCAGACUCGUGUCAAGAUCCUAAGUCAGUGAAUCCCGAGGGAAGCAAAAGGCAGGGGUGGAAGCAUGGUAAGGAGGUGUAAACACCCUUUUGUAAGCCCCAUGGAGGGGUAUAGGCUUCAACAGGGAGCAGUUUAAGAUACUUUGGAGAUUGACUGUUUGGGGUUAAGUGUUGGCUCCACUACUUAUACUCAUGUGGUUUUAGAUGCUUUUCUUAAUCUCUCUGUGCUCUGGUUUCUGUAAAAUAGUAAUAAGUAUCCUAUUUAGUUAUUUUGAGGACUAAAUAGAUAAUUCCAGCCCUCCAUAUCCCUGGGUUUCUCAUUUGUAAAUUCAACCAACUGUGGGCCAAAAAUAUAUGGAAAAAAAUGGAACGUGUACUCAACAUGUACAGACAUUUUUCUUGUCAUUAUUCUCUAAGCAAUGUAGUAUUCAGCACUAUUUACAUAGCAUUUGCAGUAUAUUAGGUAUUAUAAGUAGCCUAGAGAUAAUUUAAAGGAUGUGGGAAGAUGUAUGUAGGUUACAUGCAAAUAGUACACCAUUUUAUAUAAGGGACUUGAGAAUUUUGGUAACUGAAGGGGCUCCUGGAACCAAUUUCCCAUAGAUACAGAAAAAUGACUGCAUAUGUAAAAGACUUAGCAGUGAGCCUUUUAUAAAUGGUUGCAUUAGUAUUAAUAAAGAAGUAAAUAACACCUAUAAAUAGUUACCCAGGGUUUCCCGGAUUACAGCUGCUAUGGUCUGAAUGUUUAAGUGCUCCCAGAAUUUAUAUGUUGAAACCUAGUCACCAGUGCUAUAAUAUUAAGAAAUGGGGCUUUGGGAGGUGAUUGGGAAUGGCAUUAAUAGCACAGGAACAGAAAACCAAACAUGUUCUCAUUUGUAAGUGGGAGCUGAACAAUGAGAACACAUGGACACAGGGAGGGGAACAACACAUACUGGGGCCUGUCAUGGGGAGGGGAGGAGGGAGGAACAGCAUUAGGAAAAAUAGCUAAUGCAUGCUGGGCUUAAUAUUUUGGUGAUGGGUCUAUAGGUGUAGCAAACCACCAUGGCACAUGUUUACCUAUGUAACAAACCUGCACAUUCUGAACAUGGACCUCGGAACUUAAAAAAAGAAGAUAAAAGGCUUGAGCGAGCCUGUUUGCCCCUUCCACCAUGCGAGGACACAUACAAGGCACCAUCUAUGAGGAACGAGCUCCCAACGAGCUCCCAACAGAUGCUGAUUUUGCUGGUGUCUCGAUCUUGGACAACCUCCAGAAUUGUCUAUGAGUCAGCUAUGACUCUGUGGUGCUUUGCUGGCCUCAGCUGGACUUGGCUUCAGGCUGUAGGUUGGGUUCAUAUCUGAUCAAUGGGGCUCUCAUUCUGAGACUCAGGCUGAAGGCCACCUGAAUUCUACUCUUCUCACAGUGAAUGAGAAGCUCAUAAGAGUACAUGAGGACAGUAGGAAACUUGCCAUGUGUCUUAAAGCCUCACCUUGGAACAUGCUGUCUCCUCCAUCUAUGUUCUAUUGCUCAAAGCAAGUUAUAUGGCCAAGUCCAAUGCCAGUGGGAUGGAAAGUACACUCUGUUCACAGGACAGUCACAGCAGUGGCAAAGCGGGAAGGAGGAAUCAUGGACAAAUAAUAAAUACUAUUUAUAUACUACAAGGAUCUAUAAAAAUAACAAAAGAAUGAGCUGAGAAGGACUGAACUCACAUUAUGGCACAGACUUAGAACAGUUUAGCAAACAAUAAACUGCAAUUGCAUCGUGUUUGUGUAUUCUAAACUCACAACCCAAACCCCUUCAAAAUCUAGUCAGACAAAACCAGCAAAUUAUCCGUAAAGAUGCAUGUGCACAUGUACCCAGAGGACUUAUGGUGCAAAGCGCAUACCCAGCAUUAACCAUGACACCCUUCUAGUCUUGCUUACAAAACCCCUCUCACCAAGGCUCUGGAGAAACCCUAGCCAGAAAAGGCAAGAAGAAAAGGCCUGGGUCAGUUCCCAGCUCACUUAUAAACCUUCCUGAUCCAGACAGUGCUUGGAUCAGAGCUGAUCUGCCCCUGAUGAGGAAUUUUUAAGUCUCUCUCUGCUAUUGUUUUCAGUUGAGCGCAAUCAUCAACUGAACACCUUUUAUGCUGGUCCUUUCUGUCAUUUUUGGCUACUGCACACAUAUAUACAUAUUCAGGGAUGUCAAGUGGGGAAUUUCUCUUUCAAAUGUUCAAUACAUAAAUAAUUACAUAAAACAGUGAAUGAGUAUCUGCAAAAGAACCUGCUGUGGAAGCCAAGGGACUACAGGUGGGAGACAAAUGAAUUCUGACUAGCACUUUCAGAUGAUUUCCUCACACUCAGCAGUCCUUUAUCUGUGAUUACUUCCUGUGUCCUGCUAUCACUUUCCUGCUCCUCCCCUACUUUUUUAUCUGCCCCAAAGCUAGAGUUUGAAAUUGUCUAAUAAUUUCAUUCACUUAUACUUACAUUACUAUUUACCAUCUAAAUGAGUUAAUUGGCUCCACUUGGAACACUGACAUUCUCUUUCAGUUCCCUUUUUUUUUUUUUUUUCUGGGCAAAAUCAUUUGCUAGCUUUAUCCUUAUGGGUUGAAAAGGCACAUAUUCCACCCUGGGAGGAGGCCAUUUCCUGUUCAUGGAACCUGCCCGUCCUGAGUGUUCACUGGAGAGGCGGUGGACUCACCCCCUUCUCAGUUCAAGGACAUACUCGGGCUACUUCUUUUCCAGCUGGUAGAUACACAGGAAGAUACUGCAUCUCAUGGACUAAUGGACUUUCAAGUCAGCUUGGGGGGGUCACAUCUGUUUUAUGCAAGCAGACAAGGUGAAUUAUUGAACUAACAGCUUUCUCAG
rnacentral:lncRNA from 10 species